GAUGAACGCUGGCGGCGUGCCUAAUACAUGCGAGUCGAGCGAACAGACGAGGAGCUUGCUCCUCUGACGUUAGCGGCGGACGGGUGAGUAACACGUGGAUAACCUACCUAUAAGACUGGGAUAACUUCGGGAAGCCGGAGCUAAUACCGGAUAAUAUAUUGAACCGCAUGGUUCAAUAGUGAAAGACGGUUUUGCUGUCACUUAUAGAUGGAUCCGCGCCGCAUUAGCUAGUUGGUAAGGUAACGGCUUACCAAGGCAACGAUGCGUAGCCGACCUGAGAGGGUGAUCGGCCACACUGGAACUGAGACACGGUCCAGACUCCUACGGGAGGCAGCAGUAGGGAAUCUUCCGCAAUGGGCGAAAGCCUGACGGAGCAACGCCGCGUGAGUGAUGAAGGUCUUCGGAUCGUAAAACUCUGUUAUUAGGGAAGAACAAAUGUGUAAGUAACUAUGCACGUCUUGACGGUACCUAAUCAGAAAGCCACGGCUAACUACGUG
rnacentral:rRNA from 1 species